GACGUAGGGAGCGAGCGUUGUCCGGAUUCAUUGGGCGUAAAGAGCUCGUAGGCGGUUUGUCGCGUCUGCCGUGAAAUCCCGAGGCUCAACCUCGGGUCUGCAGUCGAUACGGGCAAACUUGAGUGUUGCAGGGGAGACUGGAAUUCCUGGUGUAGCGGUGAAAUGCGCAGAUAUCAGGAGGAACACCGGUGGCGAAGGCGGGUCUCUGGGCAACAACUGACGUGGAGGAGCGAAAGCGUGGGGAGCGAACAGG
rnacentral:rRNA from 1 species